GGACUGUCGUUUUUGUUCCCGAAAAAUGACCUUUUAGACACAUACGAUUAUAAUGUAUCAGGGAACAGUUCGUAUUUAUGGACUACUCCUGCUGUUGCUGAAGACCUUGAUGCCAACUUUAGUAGUACAGAGCCUGUAGAUUCAGUGAAUGAAAGCCUUCAGCCUGGAAUAAGCUCAAGCUCAACAUCAUCUGACUUUGAAACAAGCCAGGAUAGCCAAAGGAGACUUGCAGUACAUACAAAUCUUCUACAAGAGUUCGAUGCAGUGGGUGGUGAAGAAUAUAGCACCAAAGCCUGCUAAACCAGCUGCCAUUACCCAACACAAGAACACAUUCUGGAACCUGCCUGGAACAUUCAACCAACACAACAUCCAUAUUCAGUUGUAGAAUAAUAUAGAAUGCCUAGUAUUGUUACACCCUGAUCGGUUUCACCUGUCUUUGUGCUUGUCUCCACCCCACUCCAGGUGUCGGUCAUCUUACCAUUAUCCCCUGUGUAUUUAUACCUGUGUUCUCUGUUUGUCUGUUGCCAAUUCGUCUUGUCUUGUCAGGUCUUACCAGUGUUCUUUCCCACCUUCCUGUUUCUCUAGUUCUGUUUCCAGGUUUUCCCCAGUUCUGACCAUUCUGCCUGCCCUGACCCCGAGUCUGCCUGCCGUCCUGUACCUGCCUGACUCUGACCUGAUCACGAACAUCUGCCUGCCCUUGACCUGCCCUUUGCCUGCCCUGUGUUUCUACUAAAUCAUCUGAGAACUGUACUAUCCUCCUCCCGUGUCUGCAUCUGGGUCAUAUCCUGAGUCGUGAUAGUACGAACUGACCAUGACUGACCCAGCACAUUCGGACCAGUUCUGCAACGCCGUCUCCUUCCAGCGAGCCACCAUUGGAAGACACAAGGAGUUACUAUGACGUCUUGUGGAGGAUUCCAGACCUUGACGGAACGCUAAGACCGUGCCUUCAACACAUUACUGGAGCAAUUCCGUGGAUUGUAUGUGAGGCAGCCCGCCACUACAGUAACCCCCCAGACUGUGAAUUACCCCGCUACCAGCAGCGUUUCUCUCUAUUCAACCCUGGCUUCCCAAGAAUCCCUCUUACCUUUUACAGAGCACUAUGCUAGAGAUCCCAGAUCCUGCCGGGCGUUUUUCUCCCAGUAUUCUCUCAUCUUUGAGCUGCAGCCCUCUUAAUUUCCCUCGGAUUGCUCGAGGCCUGGGCUUGCCUGGGCUACGGCGGUGUGGGAGCAACAAUCCACCGUUUGUCUCAGAUUGAAGGAGUUUGUGGCGUUCACGGGUUGUAUUCCCAUCGCCGAUGGACGGCUAUGGGAAUUGUAGGAGGGAGAGGGAGUCUGUUCCCUGUCGCCGACACUCGUCCUCGAUUUCCACCUCGCCUCAGAGGAAUCCCGGAAAUCCCCGAAGUCCAAAUUUCUGAAUGGAUCCGAUGUCGGCCGAAGUCUCUUCCGGAGCCCAUCCAACUGGGCAGGGCUAGAUUGUCUCCUGCUGAGCGCUUACGCAGACAUAACAUCCACUUUUUAAAAUCUACCUGUCCAUUAAAGAACCAGGCUCAUCAAGAAGGUACUAGUAUGUGUACGCUGGUGAGCCGUACGGGGAGUUUCCCAUCUUCCAUUGCUCAUACCCCUCUCCAUGCUACCCUGUUGUGGGAUGACUGGUCCAAAUCUCUCUGGGUGCUCAUAGACUCUAGGGCCGAUGAGAGCUUUAUAGACGCUACCCUGGUGUAAGAGCUGGGAAUCCCCACACAACCCCUCUCCAUUCCCAUGGACAUCAGAGCGUUGGAUGGGCGCUCUAUUGGCAGAGUCACCCACACCACGUGUCCCGUUAACCUGAGCGCUUCGGUGAGUUUAUGCAGUUCCUGCCCAUCGAAUCCCCUCAUGCACACAUCGGCACAAUCCCCUGAUCGACUGGGCUACUGGUUUAUAUCCUGGGUUGGAGCAUGUUUUGCCAUGGGAAUUGCCUGAAGUUGGCAUUGCCUUAAGUUUGCGCUGCCUGCCCUGGGACGUCUUCCUAAGUGCUUGGGAAAAGCCCUGGAUCUCUCUGCCAUUCCAGCGGAGUACCAGGACCUCCGGGAGGUUUUCAGCAAGAGCCGUGCCACCACGCUUCCUCUGCAUCGGCCCUAUGACUGGGCCACGACCUUCUCCCGGGCACUACACUGCCUUGGGGUGGCUUUAUUUCCCUGUCAGGUCUGGAGACCAAGGCGAUGGUGACGUGUAUUGAGGACUCCCUGGCUGCAGUGGGGUAUCCCAUGCUUCUGCCUCCCCGCCGGUACAGGGUUCUUCUUUUUGGAGAAGAAGGACAAAACCCUGCGUCUAUGUGUCGGCUACCAGGGCCUGAAUGACAUCACGGUUAAAAAACGUUACCCGCUUCCACUCAUCGCAUCGUCAUUCGAGCCUCUCCAGGGGGCUACCAUCUUCUCCAAGUUGGACCUCCGGAAUGCCUACCAUCUGGUACGGGUCCGGGAAGGGGA